CAGGGUGUGAUUCUCCUGUGUAUGCCAAUAACGGUAAUCAAUCUCCAUACAAUGUAAUCCUGAACUCUCCAUCCUACUCCCCAACAAUCCCUAAUCGUGAAUCUGAUCAACAAUCCCCUGCGAAAGGUUAUCAGUACAGCCAUAAUGACACGCUUUCCGAUUCCGAUGUUAAUGCCAAUGAUGAUCUGAGGGACGAUCUACGCGAUCUACGCCACCUUCACAAGUCUGUGUCUUUGACGUUCAAGAAACUCAUGCGCGUGAAAACACACGGGUCAAGAGUUCAAAGUAAGCAUGUUCAUGCAUUGUGUAAGAAACGUGUGAGCCUUUAUAUGAAUCAAUGUACUACCCUACUCAAUAAACACCAUGUCUAGGAAAAGGUGUGAUAAUUGUUUUAAUGUUGAAGCCAAGAGGUGUAAAAUCAGACAGGAAUCUGAAUAUGUCCCCAUCACAUCCGAUCAUUUAACUUGUGAAUGUGUAUCAGAUACAGAACUUACACUCAACUUACAGCAUGACCAUUUCCAUCAGUUAAACCAAAGUUUAGAUAGACUACGGAAUGAAUGUAAUCCUUCUGUAAUAGACGCUGUUAAUCGGCUUAACGAAAGUUUAGCUUUAACGCCCGACCUCAAUAAUGUUACGGAACAGUCUGUAACAACGCCUCAAAAUGUAACGCAAGAAUCAAACAUAGAUUUGUUUCACAAUCUAAACCAAAGUUUAGAUAGACUUCGGAAUGAAUGUAAUCCUUCUCUAUUAGACGCUGUUAAUCGGCUUAACGAAAGUUUAGCUUUAACGCCC